AGCGAACGUUUGCGGCGGGCCUAACACAUGCAAGUCGAACGCGCUAGCAAUAGUGAGUGGCGCACGGGUGCGUAACACGUGGGUAAUCAACCCUUCAGCUUGGGAUAACGACUUGAAAGGGUCGCUAAUACCGGAUACGGCGCGAGAGGCUUCGGCAUCUCACGAGAAAGCCUCGCAAGGGGCACUGAAGGACGAGCCUG
rnacentral:rRNA from 1 species